UACGUAGGUGGCAAGCGUUAUCCGGAAUUACUGGGCGUAAAGCGCACGCAGGUGGUUCUUUAAGUUUGACGUGAAAGCGCCUGGCUUAACUGGGCGAGGUCGUUGAAGACUGGAGGACUUGAGGCGAGGAGAGGGGUGUAGAAUUCCCGGUGUAGUGGUGGAAUGCGUAGAUAUCGGGGGGAAUACCAGUGGCGAAAGCGGCACCCUGGUCUUGGCCUGACGCUCAGGUGCGAAAGCGUGGGGAGCGAACGGG
rnacentral:rRNA from 1 species